ACUGCAUCAUCUUCUGAAGAAAUCGACAUUUGUCAUGUUGUUAACUGAAGAAAUCGACACCCAGCGGUUAGCACCAAACCGACCGGGCUCAUCGUCGACCAUCCUGUCUUCAUCGAACGGCAGCUUACCGCUUCGACCGGAGUUACUACGACACACCGCCACCCUUCAUCGCCCAUCCAAUCGCUCUGAAGACUGGACGUGUCACUAUCUGAAUUUACCUUUUACGGUCUCCUUGUUCACCUGCUUUACUUUGGCGUUAAGUUAAGAUUACCUUUCACUAGUUGUAAUGUGUAUGAAACCCCGGAUCUAUCUCAGAGCCCUGGAUCUCAUCUUCCUACUCCCUCCAUUCCACAAUGUAGUGCUUCCUCUAUUCACGUGCUUCAACUUUGACCGUAAAUUUAACUAUCAAAACCGAUUGCGGCGGGGGCAAAAGUUAUAUCAGUGACUUCGUAUUCGAAAGAGGUUUUUAAUUAUGUAACUUUUUCUCCCGCCGCAGUCGGUCUCGUUCGCUAAAUUUAUGGUCAAAGUUCAACCUCGGGAAGCGUGGGCGCACUAUAUUUUGGAAUGGAGGGAGUAUUACUUGGGGUAAACCCUAGCCACCGUGUCCUGGCUGGUUUAAUCACACAUUAUAAUUUGCUGCGUAUAUUUUCUCUUGCGAUCUUCCUCUGAAUCCACAUAAUUGGUGCAAUGUUUGAGUGAUUUAGUUUGUGAACUACAGUAGUUGGGUCUUGUCAGUCCUUUGCUGCUGCUUGGCGUGGCAGAUGUAACAUGGAAAGGAGGGUACCUGCCUGCCUGUUGGUGAACUACCUACCUGCUCAUCUCAUCAGGCUUGCUUGUCUGAAGUCCUGGCCUUAAGUUUUAUUCCAGAAAUCUUAUUCCAU
rnacentral:lncRNA from 1 species